UGAAAAAAAAACAGAAGUGGGACUGAAGAAGAGAGGAAAAUUAAAGAAAAAAGAAGACUCUACACGUUUGAAGGCACUUGACAAAGGCCUGAUCCAGGAGACUAGCCAUGGAGGAGGAUUACAAGAAACCACCACCGUCUUAUGAAGAAGUUAUUACCCAGCAGCACACGAGCAACACUAGUCAGAGCCGCUCUGCUGAUAACAGGCAGGGCUGCUGCUGCAGGUGCUGCAUUAGCACCAAGAACUGUCUGAUGAGUCCAGAGUGCGGUCGAGCUCUUAGCAUCGCCAAUGUGAUUGCCAUGUGUGGCAUGUGCAUUCGAAUGUGUGUCUAACACAGUCUCCUGUGGACCAUCUAUUCCAGUACUCUCAUCCAAUGGUGGCCUUCUCAAAUAAAAAUGGAAACAAAGACAUUAGCUCUGUUCCAAAACCUAGUGAUCUGCAACAUUAAUAUGCUCACCCCCAAUACGAAUCCCAAUGCUGUUCCAAAUAGAAUGCAGGACUGCAUGUAUCAUUCAGGUAAUCCUUGAUCGAACUGACUAAAAUUUCCAUUUCAAAUAGGAAAUGUCAAUUGCAAAGUAUAGCUUAUAAAUACAAAGUAUAUUAAUUCAGUACUGACACAUAUCAUUGAAAAACACGGCCACGUCAUGUGACCUGUGAGCUUAGCAACAUGCUAACAUUAUACUUUAUAAGAAUCAACUGUGUUAGUAGUCUCUGAUGUGCAUCAUGGGCCUCUUUAAUCAAAUAGUAGCACAAUAAACUUUUAAAUCAUUUGUAACAUGUGUAACAGACCUUUUUUGUCUGCAAAAUUGUGUUAAUGUAACGGCACCUUUACAAUAUGUCUUUCCUUUUUGGAAGACAAUAGCAGACAAUAGAGUUAAACAGUUGUAUUAAUAUUUUCUCUUUAAUCCAAGUCACCUAUGUUUAUACAGAGCUUUAUACAAUACUAAAUAGGAAAGAAACAGAAUCAGUGACACAAACUUCAUCAAAUAUGAGGCAAUCCGAAUUCUGCUGUAAAGCAGCUCUAACAAGACAUUUCCAAAAUAGUUGCAGUCAUUUGGAAAUGCCAAUUGAGCUCCUAUUUUUUUUCUUUCAUAAAUUGGAGCCAGUGAUGUGAUUGGAUGUGGCAUCCACCUUAAUUAUGUAUCAGGGUAUCAAA